AGUGUAGCGGUGAAAUGCGUAGAUAUUAGGAGGAACACCAGUGGCGAAGGCGGCCUGCUGGACGACAACUGACGCUGAGGCGCGAAAGCGUGGGGAGCAAACAGGAUUAGAUACCCUGGUAGUCCACGCUGUAAACGAUGUCGAUUUGGAGGUUGUGCCCUUGAGGCGUGGCUUCCGGAGCUAACGCGUUAAAUCGACCGCCUGGGGAGUACGGCCGCAAGGUUAAAACUCAAAUGAAUUGACGGGGGCCCGCACAAGCGGUGGAGCAUGUGGUUUAAUUCGAUGCAACGCGAAGAACCUUACCUGGUCUUGACAUCCACAGAACUUUCCAGAGAUGGAUUGGUGCCUUCGGGAACUGUGAGACAGGUGCUGCAUGGCUGUCGUCAGCUCGUGUUGUGAAAUGUUGGGUUAAGUCCCGCAACGAGCGCAACCCUUAUCCUUUGUUGCCAGCGGUCCGGCCGGGAACUCAAAGGAGACUGCCAGUGAUAAACUGGAGGAAGGUGGGGAUGACGUCAAGUCAUCAUGGCCCUUACGACCAGGGCUACACACGUGCUACAAUGGCGCAUACAAAGAGAAGCGAACUCGCGAGAGCAAGCGGACCUCAUAAAGUGCGUCGUAGUCCGGAUUGGAGUCUGCAACUCGACUCCAUGAAGUCGGAAUCGCUAGUAAUCGUAGAUCAGAAUGCUACGGUGAAUACGUUCCCGGGCCUUGUACACACCGCCCGUCACACCAUGGGAGUGGGUUGCAAAAGAAGUAGGUAGCUUAACCUUCGGGAGGGCGCUUACCACUUUGUGAUUCAUGACUGGGGUGAAGUCGUAACAAGGUAACCGUAGGGGAACCUGCGGUUG
rnacentral:rRNA from 1 species